UUGAAAAUUGAAUUUGCUCCGAGAAAGAAGUCAGUGCGGUUGAGGCAUUCGUUGCGAUAAGUACAUAGUUUUUUUUUCAACUCUGGGUGGCUCCGCCUCGGAGGGCACUUACUGAGCCCUGGUACCACCUGAUAAAGUGAUACUCAUGAUAUCAGAGUGGUUCUGGAACUAUUGAUAAUUAUUCAUUUAACGCACACAGAAAAUUGUAAUGUUCUAUAAGAUCGAAACAGAAUCGUAUGAAAAAUAAUUAACGUCGGGAAGUUCGCCUGAAAAAAAAUCCAGUCAUCAUUAAAAAUUUUAUCGAAAUGAUGAUGAAAAUGUACAUCUUAACGAGCAAGUUUUAAUAUAUCAGAACCCGUAAAUUCAAUGAUUUCAAUGAAAUUGAAAAACAGAGGCAAAAUCCAUCAACUCCAGAACCAACUCUGAACAAAUUUACACGUGUUCAUGAAUAAAAUGUAAAUUCAAUAAUUUCGAAGAAAUGCAAAGACAAAGGCAAGAUUCAUCAACUCCAGAGCCAACCCUCAACAAAAUUUGUACGUGCUCAUGAAUAAAAUAAUUUAAAUAGGUAAAUCCACUGAUUUUAAUAAAAUUUAAAAUCAAAGGCAGGAUUCAUCAACUCCAGAGCCAGCUUCGAACAAACUUACACGUGUUCAUGAAUAAAAUAAUUUGAAUAAAAGAGGAAGAUAGUUCCAGUGAUCAUAUAAAUUUACACAAUGAAGAAGGACUUACAAUUUCUACACCUUCAAGGCCAAAAGUACAACCACCAAGCGGUAAACAGCAUUUGUGUAAUUAUUUUGUAUAAAUUCAACGAGUUUUUUUUACUUUUUUGUAUCGAUCAUAUAGACAUUACGAUUUUGUGAGUGCUUUGAAUGCAUAAUUAUCAGUAGACUCAUUAGAACCACUCUGGUACCACUUGAGAUUAGAAAAUUAUCUAUCACUUCAAAAAAAAUCAAUUCAUCUCAGAUUAAUAAAAUAAUUAAGCUUUUUUUUUUUUUUUUCUUUUUCACUCUUGUAUAGAGUAAAUAUUAUUGAGUUUUUCACUCUUGCAUAUAGAGAUAAUAAUAUUGCG